AGAAAUCAUUACAAAAUUAACUAAUUAUUUAUAUUUAUAUUAAAAAGGUACUUGAAAUUUGAAAAGGCAUAUAGGCCUUUAGCAAACAUAAAAACAAUCACAUAUGUGUUGGGUUAUGCAGUCGCUUUUGUUGGGGAUUACCGUCUGAUUUUGCGCUGCAUGACAUUUAGUUAUGCAUGUAUAUUUACGGCAAUCGAGUAAUAUUAUAUGAAGAAAUUCUUUACAUCUUUUCGGUACGCCUUUGUUGGGGUCUGCCGUGCUUGCUAAACCUGCAAAACAAUGAUAUUCGAUCAAAAUAACUGCUGCUGCAUAUUUUCAAUGGGAUCAAAAUAACUGCUUGUGCGUAUUUUUAAAACAAGCAAGCAAAUAAAUAUCUAAUUGCGUUUCAACAUUUUAAAUGGCCAAAAUAGAAUAUCUAUAACAAAAGGUUGCUAUGAUACUAUAUGACCGGCUGCAAUGGAUUAGAACCCUAUAUAUAUAUACACACACGAGUGAAUAGCGUGACAUUCAUAUUAGAUUAUUGGAUAGGGACGGCCAAUCAAUUCUAACUAUAAAAAUAGAUAAAUUUUCAUCAAAAUAAAAGUAAAAUAAAGAUCUUUCCUUCAAAGCACUGCAGAUAAAUAGAAAGUUCUUUUUUUUACAAAAACUGUUAAAAAAAUUCUAUUUGUGUUUGCGAAAACAACGUCCUCUUUUUCUUUAUACCAGUACCGGAUUCAAUCACUAAAUUAGAACGAAAUCACUAACUGAUGGGUUUAUAUUUUUUACAUUGUAGUUAAUGGAUAUUUUUAGAUCAUGAUUCUAUUUAGACUGAUUUCAUAUCAUAAGAAUUCUCAAACUCCUUUCUAAUCCACUUUUAGAGUUCUCUCUCAACAACAAACCCUUAUUCAUAAUAAAUUUUUUCUAUUUUAUUGUAUAGUGUAUACCUCCUAUGCACACAACACAAAACAAAAACGGUUAUUCUAUUUUCAUCAUCGAAUAAUUAUUCGAUCCAUUUUAUUCUUUGGAUCAUGUUUCAAUCAAAAAUUUAUAUAUAUAUGAUGUUUUGUGCUACUUUUAUUAUUGAAUGCACAGUCACAGAGAUAGAGCAGAUAUAUACCUGGAGACUGAUCAUGAUGGUUGAUGUGGUCAAUCGAGAUAUCUUUGUUAGAUUUAACACUAAGAAAGAACAUGGUGAGAAGAAAACAAGCAAAAAUCCUCUUCAUAUUUUUUUUGUUUUCUGAGUUGAAUUUUAAGUGUGGGGUAAUAAGAACUACGUUUCAGGACUUGUAUAUAUAAGCAGUACAAUUAGAGAGAUCAAAUUUACCUUUAUAUAUCUCCUCUUGUGGAUAUCAAAUUUCAAGUUAUGAUUCUUUGUAAUACCCAUUAAUUUGGCAGAACUGUGUGGUAUACGUGGUACGACAAGA
rnacentral:lncRNA from 1 species